GACAGGUGGUGCAUGGUUGUCGUCAGCUCGUGUCGUGAGAUGUUGGGUUAAGUCCCGCAACGAGCGCAACCCUCGACCUUAGUUGCCAGCAUUCAGUUGGGCACUCUAAGGUGACUGCCGGCUAAAAGUCGGAGGAAGGUGGGGAUGACGUCAAAUCAUCAUGCCCCUUAUGACCUGGGCUACACACGUGCUACAAUGGGCGGUACAAAGGGUCGCGAACCCGCGAGGGGGAGCCAAUCCCAAAAAGCCGCUCUCAGUUCGGAUUGCAGGCUGCAACUCGCCUGCAUGAAGCCGGAAUCGCUAGUAAUCGCGGAUCAGCAUGCCGCGGUCGAAUACGUUCCCGGGCCUU
rnacentral:rRNA from 1 species